rnacentral:rRNA from 1 species
AUUGAACGCUGGCGGCAUGCCUUACACAUGCAAGUCGAACGGUAACAGGUCUUCGGAUGCUGACGAGUGGCGAACGGGUGAGUAAUACAUCGGAACGUGCCUAGUAGUGGGGGAUAACUACUCGAAAGAGUGGCUAAUACCGCAUGAGAUCUACGGAGGAAAGCAGGGGAUCGCAAGACCUUGUGCUACUAGAGCGGCCGAUGGCAGCUUAGGGAGUUGGUGGGAUAAAAGCUUACCAAGCCGACGAUCUGUAGCUGGUCUGAGAGGACGAUCAGCCACACUGGGACUGAGAAACGGCCCAGACUCCUACGGGCGGCAGCAGUGGGGAAUUUUGGACAAUGGGCGCAAGCCUGCUCCAGCAAUGCCGCGUGCAGGAUGAAGGCCUUCGGGUUGUAAACUGCUUUUGUACGGAACGAAAAGCCCCGGGUUAAUACCCUGGGGUCAUGACGGUACCGUAAGAAUAAGCACCGGCUAACUACGUGCCAGCCGCCGCAGUAA